CUUGUCAGUGAUUAACACAGUAAAUAUUUGAGUUUAACGACCAGUAAAAUACUUUACAUGCACUACCAUCUGACACAUU
ensembl:snoRNA SNORD33 Small nucleolar RNA Z195/SNORD33/SNORD32 family